rfam:Betaproteobacteria bacterium MOLA814 MOLA814_Contig2, whole genome shotgun sequence.
UCUGAAUCUAUUGUUCGCCAAACCAGCUUGUUACCGUGAGCUGGCGAGGGCGGCAAAAAGAAACAACC